AAAAGCAUAGUAUAAAUAAAUACAUUUCGUUUACACUGAAAAUAUACUUAAGUUAUAAGUUGCUUUUA
rnacentral:tRNA from 1 species